GAUGAACGCUGGCGGCGUGCCUAAUACAUGCCAGUCGAGCGAACGGACGAGAAGCUUGCUUCUCUGAUGUUAGCGGCGGACGGGUGAGUAACACGUGGAUAACCUACCUAUAAGACUAGGAUAACUUCGGGAAACCGGAGCUAAUACCGGAUAAUAUUUUGAACCGCAUGGUUCAAAAGUGAAAGACGGUCUUGCUGUCACUUAUAGAUGGAUCCGCGCUGCAUUAGCUAGUUGGUAAGGUAACGGCUUACCAAGGCAACGAUGCAUAGCCGACCUGAGAGGGUGAUCGGCCACACUGGAACUGAGACACGGUCCAGACUCCUACGGGAGGCAGCAGUAGGGAAUCUUCCGCAAUGGGCGAAAGCCUGACGGAGCAACGCCGCGUGAGUGAUGAAGGUCUUCGGAUCGUAAAACUCUGUUAUUAGGGAAGAACAUAUGUGUAAGUAACUGUGCACAUCUUGACGGUACCUAAUCAGAAAGCCACGGCUAACUACGUG
rnacentral:rRNA from 1 species